GACGAACGCUGGCGGCGUGCUUAACACAUGCAAGUCGAACGGAAAGGCCCUGCUUUUGUGGGGUGCUCGAGUGGCGAACGGGUGAGUAACACGUGAGUAACCUGCCCUUGACUUUGGGAUAACUUCAGGAAACUGGGGCUAAUACCGGAUAGGAGCUCCUGCUGCAUGGUGGGGGUUGGAAAGUUUCGGCGGUUGGGGAUGGACUCGCGGCUUAUCAGCUUGUUGGUGGGGUAGUGGCUUACCAAGGCUUUGACGGGUAGCCGGCCUGAGAGGGUGACCGGCCACAUUGGGACUGAGAUACGGCCCAGACUCCUACGGGAGGCAGCAGUGGGGAAUAUUGCACAAUGGGCAGAAGCCUGAUGCAGCAACGCCGCGUGCGGGAUGGCGGCCUUCGGGUUGUAAACCGCUUUCGCCUGUGACGAAGCGUGAGUGACGGUAAUGGGUAAAGAAGCACCGGCUAACUACGUG
rnacentral:rRNA from 1 species